rnacentral:rRNA from 1 species
UACGGGGGGGGGCAAGCGUUGUUCGGAAUUACUGGGCGUAAAGGGCUCGUAGGCGGCCAACUAAGUCGGAUGUGAAAUCCCCAGGCUUAACCUGGGAACUGCAUCCGAUACUGGAUGGCUUGAAUCCGGGAGAGGGAUGCAGAAUUCCAGGUGUAGCGGUGAAAUGCGUAGAUAUCUGGAGGAAUACCGGUGGCGAAGGCGGCAUCCUGGACCGGCAUUGACGCUGAGUGAGCGAAAGCGUGGGGAGCGAACAGG